rnacentral:lncRNA from 1 species
GCUGCUCUCAGGGCAGGUGGACCAGGCAGAGCCCUGAGGGACCAGAAGGGACACACCUCAGGGACAGGGGGACUGUCUGCGUGACCACGCUGUGUGCCUGGGACAAGCUGUUUCUUGGGGUGGUGAUGGGGGACAAAUAAGCAGGGAGACAGAUCCUGGUGGGUUUUCAAUUUCAACUGCCAUUGAAAAAAGGAAAUUCUUUAAUGGUUCAUCUGGCUCGGGGUUUUGUGGGGACUGGCCUUUGCCACAGAGCUCAAGGAUAUGCAGAAAACCUGACAUCAUCCUUUGGGGCUGAACACCCUGAAGCGUUUUCAAAUCUGUCCUUCCUUCGUACGUCUCCGAACAUAACCGGGUCACUGGGAUGACUGGUGGUCUGACCUGGGUGACAGUUCAGGACCCAGUGACCCGCGUUGAGCACCAGUGAUCUUGUAACCAUCGGAACGGCACUUACCCUCACCUCAAGAUUCCCCCGAAACGAUGUCUGGAGCAAUGUCUCCUGGAUCAGAAACCACGGGCUUGAACCUCAGCCCCACCCCUCACGAGCUGUGGACAGUGGCCGAGCUGCUUUACAUCCUCAAGCCUCAGUUUCCUCAUCUGUAAGCGGGAACGAUCAUGGUACCUAGCCAGCACAGUGCCUGUAACACUCACUUCUCGUGGGCUCGUACUGUGUGCAAACAUAUGUACAGCAGGUGCCCUGGGCCAAACACAGCACUACGAACGAAGCGCUUUCCGCAAGUCAGGUCACAAAGUGAUCAAACAGCUGAUGAAGCAGGCCUUCUUCUGUUCCCAGUCUAUAGGCUGCUCCUACAGGGGACACCCUUGAUCUGUGCUCUCCCACCGAUUCUCUCCUCCAGAGUCCCAGCCGGUUCACCUCCACAAAUGCGUCUCCCAUCAUUUCCCGAGUGCUCCCCUCUCACUGCGACGGUGCAUCUGCCUGCCUUUCUUGCUUCAUUACGGCCGGCUUCAGCUCAUCGUUCACAGAGCAGCCAAAAGGGCUUUAUUCAAAUGCCCAUCUGACCAUGCCCCCUUCCUAUUUAAGGAUCCCACUGUACUUGCAACAAAAUAAAAACUCCUCAGCAGGUGUCUGGCCCCUUUUC